UUCAGCUGGGUCUUUAAUUUUUGUAUCUCUUGUUGUACAGUGUCUGAUUUUGUAGAUAAAUUGAAAUUUAUCUGCACAUAAAUUUGACUGUUGCUAACCUUUGCUCCAAUCCAUUUUUCUUGAGGUUGUUUUUAUGGCGUACCAGAGGAGGCAGCCGUAAGAUAGUUCCUAGUCGUCAUCUUCCCCCUCGCUUGCCACCAACGCCAUCAGAGUUGCUUCAUCAAUUUAUGGUUUUCCAAUCAAAAAGUGGAUUAAGAGAUGGUGCAACAAGAAGGGUGGUUUAACCUGUGAAAUAUGCGAUCAGCUUGGGAUUUUACUCUCGUUUUCUAGGCAAAAUUUAUGGCCUUGUAACUGAGGAAAAUGAAACUCAUAUCUUCUUAAACAAGUUUUCUCGCCCUAUUAUGCGGUUCCAACUCCAAGAAGUAAUGCUGAUGUUUUGACUAUUGAUAUCAGGAAUGCUAAAGGAACUAUGGACGGAUGAUAAUGCAGCUCAAGCACUUUAAACACUGGAGUUCGGGCAACAGGCUGGUUGAUUUGUUGAUUUGGAUAAAAAGAUGGCUUUCGAAAUUUUAUUUUCUUCUUUUUCAUUUGUUAUAUUGAUUUUAGUUAAAUUAAAUGUUAAGGAUUAAGUAUACACACAUUUUUACCCUUCUUAAUCAUGUCAUCUUCGAACGAUUGGGACUCUUGUCGUCAAUUACACUACCUUUAUCUGCAACACUGUCAAAUAUCCAUUCAAAAUGCUUAUACGUGUAUUAUGUCAUAGGCGAAAGGUACGAUGCUGUAAUAUAUUGAAAUGCUUGCAUGGGUACUAUGUUAAAUACAUAGUGCUUGCUUAAUCUACAGUACUAGAAGUACAUUUGAUACAUUUUAACUUUGUUUUCUAUCUUCAUAAAGUUUGGCUGUCUAUCCACCUUAUUAAACAUGCUUUAAUUAUAUUGAAAAUGUGUUGUUCUUGGAUUUUAUGUCAGUCCAUCAAGUUUUAUUGUAGUCAUGUGACUAUUUCUUAUUUAUUUUAUGUUGUAGAGAAAUCUUUUCUUGUGAAUUUUCCAAAUUUCAAUUGUUGUGUUGUCAACUGUACAUUCUUUGUCAAAGGGUAAGAAAUCCCUACAGAUGUAUGUGUCUCUGGAUUUAGUGUCAUUCUCUGAGGUUUUCUUCGGUUUUGUGAUAUUCUUUGGUUUGUCCUUUUCACAUAAAGCAUUGAAAAUUGUAAGAGGCUUAUGUAUUUUUAGGGGUUUAAGUGUAUAUGAAAUGGAGAUUUUAGAAUAUCAACUACAAAUAUGUGAUUAGAAACAUACUGAAUAUCAGCUCAAUAAAUCCUUGUUUUCUUGCAUGUAGAGUGACUGAUGGAAGUCUUUCCAUUUUCAGUGUUGAUGUAUACACAACCCUUGCUGGAGCCAUUGAGAUGCUAUAAGGUUCUUUUCAUCUUGGAGCAAAUGAAGUAAUCAGCAUUUUAGUGCUUAUGAUGUUGUUCUUGCGAAUUUUUUUUAUGGAGUUUCAUUUUAGCAUGUAAGAACGCCACUACAAUAGCACAACAGGGUCUCUAGUACCUUUUUUUUUUUUUUUUAGAUUUUUAUGUACUUCAGAAUUUUGGAUCUAGAUUUUGUAUAGAUAUUUUUACACUUUGGAGUCAAUUCAUAAUGAUUAUUGGAGUUGUUUGA